GGGUGGUAAUGCCGGAUGCUCCAUCACAUCGCAUGGUGUGUUGGGAAAGCCUUUGCGGCAUGGGAUGGGGUCGCGUCCUAUCAGCUUGAUGGCGGGGUAACGGCCCACCAUGACUUCGACGGGUAGCCGGCCUGAGAGGGCGACCGGCCACAUUGGGACUGAGAUACGGCCCAGACUCCUACGGGAGGCAGCAGUGGGGAAUAUUGCACAAUGGGCGCAAGCCUGAUGCAGCGACGCCGCGUGAGGGAUGGAGGCCUUCGGGUUGUAAACCUCUUUUGUUAGGGAGCAAGGCACUUUGUGUUGAGUGUACCUUUCGAAUAAGCACCGGCUAA
rnacentral:rRNA from 1 species